UAAAAAGAUUUAGAUGCACUAUUGUAAGUGGCUGCUCCACUGGAUGUCAUAAGGUGUAUGCACCAAUUUGUAAGUCGCUCUGGAUAAGAGCGUCUGCUAAAUGACUUAAAUGUAAUGUAAAUGUAAAACUAUUAUCCAAAAGGGGGAACUGGUUUAGUUAUAAUGCUGCUUAUUUAAUAAUUCCCUGGAGGUUAGUUAAUAAUUUAAUUACAACUUGUCUGAUUUCUAACCAAAUCCUACCCUUCAUUAUAGGCUACACAUUCAGGCUAUAACUCCGUUAAUAGGACCUCUUCAGGUAUAGGGGGCAGCAUUUUCACUUUUGGAUAAAUAGCGUGCCCAAUUUCAACUUCCUGCUACUCAUGCCAGGAAUAUAAGAUAUGCAUAUUAUUAGUAGAUGUGUAUAGAAAACACUCUGAAGUUUCUAGAACUGUUUGAAUCAUGUCUGUGAGUAUAACAGAACUUAUGUAGCAGGCAAAACCCUGAGGACUAACUGUUCAGAAUAUUAUUAUUUUUGCCUCUGACUUUUCCCUGAGUUGUCUUUGCCAAGGGAUAUUUUCAGUUCCUACCACUUCUACUGGAUGUCACCAGUCUUUGGAAUUUGGUUGAGGUUAUUCAUUUGUGCAACGAAGAAGAAGCACAUCCUGGAACAAUAUUACACUAUUGAGAGUUGCGCAAGACGUAAAAAGGAGCAUGAUUUGUUUACUUGCUGUAUUGAACACAGAUAGCCCCGUCUACAAUUUGAUCGAUUAUUAACGUUUAAAAAUACCUAAAGUUGUAUUACAAAAGUAGUUUGAAAUAUUUUGGCAAAGUUUAUAGGCAACUUUUGAAAUGUUUUGUAGUGACGUUGCGUUUUUUGGCAGCUGUUUUUUUCUGGAUCAAACGUGUCAAAUAAAUGGACAUUUGAUAUAUAUGGACGGAAUUAAUCGAACAAAAGGACCAAUUGUGAUGUUUAUGGGACAUAUUGGCGUGCCAACAAAAGAAGCUCGUCAAAGGUAAUGCAUGUUUUAUAUUUUAUUUCAGCGUUUUGUGUAGCGCCUGCAGGGUUGAAAUAUGCAACUCUCUUUGUUGACAUUGUGCUAUCAUCAGAUAAUAGCUUCUUAUGCUUUCGUCAAAAAGCUUUUUAAAAUCUGACAUGUUGGCUGGAUUCACAACGAGGGUAGCUUUAAUUGAGUAUCUUACAUGUGUGAUUUAAUGAAUGUUUGAUUUUUAUAUCAUUAUUUGAAUUUGCCGCGCUGCAUUUUCCCAGUUUUUUCCCCAAGUGGGACGCAAGCAUCCCCUAUACCAUAAGAAGUUAAUCGGACCUGAUUUCUAUUUUUCGUUUUUAUAUUCAUUUUUUAAUUUUUUUAAAAAUAUUUUUUAUUUUUGUUCAUGUUCAACAUUUUUUAUAUUUUUUGUACCCCUUUUUAUCCCCAAUUUUCAUGGUAUCCAAUUUCUUGUUACAGUCUUGUCCCUGCAACUCCUGUACAGAAUUGGGAGAGGCGAAGGUCGAGAGUCCUUCGAAACACAACCCAACCAAGCCGCACUGCUUCUUGACACAAUGCCCACUUAACCCGGAAACCAGCCGCACCAAUGUGUCGGAGGAAACACCGUACAGCUGGCUACGUGCCCGCCACAGGAGUCGCUAGUGUGCGAUGGGACAAGGACAUCCCUGCCGGCCAAUCCUUCCCCUAACCCUGAAGACGCUGGGCCAAUUGUGCGCCGCCCCAUGGGUCUCCCGGUCGCGGUCAGCUGCAACAGAGCCUGGACUUGAACCCAGAAAAUCUAGUGGCAUCUCUAGUGGCACAGCUAGUACUGCAGUGCCUUGGACCACUGCGCCUGUCGGGAGGCAUUUGCCCUGAUUAGAGUUGUGAAGUGUGUUUAUGCUUCAUUAGUAAUUAUUAUGCAUAUAGCUCAGACUGUACGUGUCAUGAGGUGUCAUGUUUCAGACUGUUGUCAGAGAGGUGGUAAGGGUACGCAACAACACAUCUGCCACCCUGAUCCUCAACACGGGGGGCCCUCAGGGUUGCAAGCUUAGUCCCCUCCUGUACUCCAUGUUAAUCCAUGACUGCAUGGCCAAGCAUGACUCCAACACCAUCAUUAAGUUUUCUGACAACAACAGUGGUACGCCUGAUCACCGACAUAGAUGAGACAACCUAUAGGAAGGAGGUCAGAGACCUUGCAGAGUGGUGCCAGGACAACAACCUCUACAUCAAUGUGAGCAAGACAAAGGAGAUGAUCGUGGACUACAGGAAAAUGAGGGCUGAACAUGCCUCCAUUUACAUCAACAGGGCUGUAGUGAAGCAGAUCGAGAGUUUCAUGUUCCUUGGUGUCCACAUCACCAACAAAUUAUCAUGGUCCAAACAGACCAAGAAAGUUGUGAAGAGGGCACACCCUUCCCCCUCAGGAGACUGAAAAGAUUUAGCACGGGUUCCCAGAUCCUCAAAAAGUUAUACAGAUGCACCACCGAGAGCAUCCUGACCAGUUGCAUCACCACCUGGUAUGGCAAUUGCUCAGCAUCCGACCCUAAGGCCCUACAGAGGGUAGUGCAUACGGCCCAGUACAUCACUGGGGUCAAGUUUCAUGCCAUCCAGGACCUACAGUUGAAGUCAUAAUAAUCGGCUCUCUAUCCACCGGAUGUGUACCAAACUCACUAAAAGUGGCAGUAAUAAAGCCUCUCUUGAAAAAGCCAAAGCUUGACCCAGAAAAUAUAAAAAACUAAUCGGCCUAUAUCGAAUCUUCCAUUCCUCUCAAAUUUUUUUGAAAAGGCUGUUGCGCAGCAACUCACUGCCUUCCUGAAGACAAACAAUGUAUACGAAAUGCUUCAGUCUGAAAGGCUCUGGAGCAACGAACCGCCCUUGCUAUCUCUGCCUGGCCGGUUCCCCUCUUUCCACUGGGAUUCUCUGCCUCUGACCCUAUUACAGGGGCUGAGUCACUGGCUUACUGGUGCUCUUUCAUGCCGUCCCUAGGAGGGGUGCGUCACUUGAGUGGGUUGAGUCACAGAUGUGAUCUUCCUGUCUGGGUUGGCCGUGGCGGAGAUCUUUGUGGGCUAUACUCGGCCUUGUCUCAGGAUGGACCUGAGCCCUAGGACCACGACUACCUGGCAUGAUGACUCCUUGCUGUCCCCAGUCCACCUGACCGUGCUGCUGCUCCAGUUUCAGCUGUUCUGCCUGCGGCUAUGGAAUCCUGACCUGUUCACCGGACGUGCUUCCUGUCCCAAACCUGCUGUUUUCAACUCUCUAGAGACAGCAGGAGUGCUGGAGAUACUCUUAAUGAUCGGCUAUGAAAAGCCAACUGACAUUUACUCCUGAGGUGCUGACUUGCUGCACCCUCGACAACUACUGUGAUUAUUAUUAUUUGAACAUGCUGGUCAUUUAUGAACAUUUGAACAUCUUGGCCAUGUUCUGUUAUAAUCCCCACCCGGCACAGCCAGAAGAGGACUGGCCACCCCUCAUAGCCUGGUUCCUCUCUAGGUCUCUUCCUAGGUUUUGGCCUAUCUAGGGAGUUUUUCCGAGCCUGCAUUGCUUGCUGUUUGGGGUUUCAGGCUGGGUUUCUGUACAGCACUUUGAGAUAUCAGCUGGUUUACGAAGGGCUUUAUAAAUACAUUUGAUUUGAUUUGAAUAUGAUUGGAUAAAAGAUCUAACAUAAAGACCAGCCCUCCAAAUCUCAACCUGGGGCUGGAAGCAGUGCAACCAAGAGGAACGCUAUGAAAUGAAGAGUAUAACUCUUACUCUGGGGAAUAAUUUAAUACAUAUUUGUGGGAAUAUAUAUAUUUUAUAUUCUGAUGAUGUUUAGGCCAGCAGAGAAGGCCUUGCUGGCCCUGACGGCCCACCACUGCUGGUUCGCGCCCGGGUAUGGGCGAGGGGACGGUCUGAAGUUAUACUGUUAAACAUACAGGGCAGGAUUCAUGACAAACGGCAACCUGCUCCCUAUCCUUGCGCUUAGACUCUGAAACCGCAACAAGGUUAUCGAGUUGGGUCAGACGAUCGUCUGGUCAAAAACAAUCUAGAGGCUAUCAGAACAGUAUGAUAUAUCCAAAUAAAUAUGGUUCUGAUGCAAAAUAAGAUAAUAUAGUCUACGUCUACAAGCGUGGCCGAUACAAUUCCAUAACAAGGUCUAGAAACACCAUCAAAGACAGCGGUAACAACAUUCAACGACCCAACCGAUACAAUGAAAAUAAAAACUCACCUGGCGGUUGUAUCCUUUGGUACCUGCCCAGUAUUUUCUGGCUACUGUUAUCUACCGGUGCGUGCAGCCCUACUUCCUACCCUCUCUGCCUCUAGCCUACUUCAAAUUACAUCCUGAACAGACAGCAAGCGUGCACUUUUUGUACACCCUGGUGUCUGGACGGUCUGAAGUUACACUGUUACACAUACAGGGCAAGAUUCAUGACAAACAGCAACCUGCUCGUAGACUCUGAAACCGCAGUCUGGUGUCAGACACGCUCAGGACAUGCAGGUUGACAUAUAAAAACAAACUCUGAACCACCUAUAUUAAUUUGGGGACAGAUCGAAAAUAAUUAAACAUUUAUGGCAAUAGCUAGCUUUCUGUUGCUAGGAAAUUUGUCCUGGGAUAUAAACAUUGGGUUGUUAUUUUACCUGAAAUGCACAAGGUCCUCUACUCCGACAAUUAAUCCACAGAUAAAAGGGUAACGUUAAACCGAGUUCAUUAAUAGCAAUCCCUCCUCAUUCAGGCUUCUUCUUUGGACUGUAUCAACUACUACUCAUGUAGGUCCAGGAUUUGUUUCAGCCUGUGUUCGUUUGAGUUUCACACAUAUUUUAUAGCACCAAACACUCCAGGAUGAGAUCUAACAAGAUAUGCAAGAGCGCAGUAGCUGCAUAUCUCAGGACUCCUGGCAGUUAGUUUUAUCUUCUUUGGUUCUGCUGCCACCUUCUGGUCAGUCAAGCGUUGGAAAUGUAAACUGAUGUCUUGGCUCUUUCUGCCACUGGCCCUGGCUUUGGCUGCAAGUGGUGAGUUGUCCUGUAAUGCCAUUGCUGCAGACUCUGUAGUAUGCACCACUUAUUUAGCUACAUUGUAUGGAUACUCAACUAUUGUUGUCCAUGUACAGAGAAGCAGGCUACUGCACCUUGCAUGUAGCUUGGUAGCCGUAGCGUUUCUGCUUUAGCCAGCAACUCAUCAUGCAUGACAAUGCCAAAUAAGUCUUUAAAGCAGGAACAAGCUGGUAAAUGUGCUGCAGGUACUGUUCCUUUUCCUAAUGAGUGUCAUUAUUACUGCUAAUUAGAGAUGGGUCCUGGGGGAUUGCAGUGAGCUGGCUUGUUGUUUAUCAGGCAGCCUGCUCCAUGUGGAGGGUAUCUGCUGCUAGGUUUAGGAACAGAACCUUACAACUGGCCUCUCCGUGUGGUAACCUACAGUACCAUAGUCUGCUGUGUGUGUAGCCAUAUGUAACAGUGAGACAGGGGAAGUACUAUUGUGUCAAAGUUGUUGGUACACCUAAUGUCCAGUCAUGAUGAUUAUAUUUAUGGGAUCCUGAGUGGCUCAGAGGUCUAAGGCAGUGCAUCGCAGUGCAAGAGGCGUCACUACAGACCCGGGUUUGAUCCCAGGUUGUAUCACGGGAGUCCCAUAGGGCAGCGCACAAUUGGCCGGGUUAGGGGAGGGUUUGUCUGGGGUACGCUGUCAUUGUAAGUGAGAAUGUGUUCGUAACUGACUUGCCUAGUUAAAUAAAGGUAAACAAAUGUAUAUAUUUGA